rnacentral:rRNA from 1 species
AUGUUCUUGCUAAUGAAAUUACAGGGAGAGAUAUCAAAUGGUAUUGGAUCAGAAUCAUGCGUUCUUGAUUUUCGCAGAGACAUGCAUCAAAUGGGAAUUGCAAGGAAUCAAAUGGAAUCAAAUGAGUUUGCGGAUUGUGGGGCAAUGCUCCCGGCGGGCGGUGCCGAGCAGGUGCGUGCCCCCGCACCUGUAAGCCCUUGGGAAUUUCUUAUCAGAAUGAGGUGUCGUUGUGCCUCACAUGGGAACAAUCUGCGGAAUCUAUAUGGAGCUUUGUUCGAUCAAUCUCUUCUACCUUCGCAAGAUCUAUUCUAA